AAUAUUUACUUGGUGUAUCAAAGUGAAGUAUCUGUUCUUAUCAGCUUAAUCUCUUGUACGACCUCUAUAGGGGGCCCAGAAGAUUAAACUGAUUCUUUGAAAAUGACUGAGUGCUAGGUGCUUGCUCCAUCUCUGUCGCCUGAAAUGAUCACUUUGUGGCUUUGUGAGUGGGAGAACCCCA
rnacentral:snRNA from 1 species